rnacentral:rRNA from 1 species
ACGUAGGGUGCGAGCGUUAAUCGGAAUUACUGGGCGUAAAGCGUGCGCAGGCGGGCUUUUAAGCCAGACGUGAAAUCCCCGGGCUCAACCUGGGAAUGGCGUUUGGGACUGGAAGUCUGGAGUGCGGCAGAGGAGACUGGAAUUCCUGGUGUAGCAGUGAAAUGCGUAGAUAUCAGGAGGAACACCGAUGGCGAAGGCAGGUCUCUGGGCUGACACUGACGCUCAUGCACGAAAGCGUGGGGAGCAAACAGGA